rnacentral:snoRNA from 1 species
ACCCUAUGAUUCCCUUUCCCAUCAGUUCUGAACACUGGUCUGGGUGGUCAUAAAAGGAGGAAAAGCAGCACUGAAGCUGACUUCGCAGUGCUUUACAGAACGUUGGUUGGUUUCAAACUGGU